rnacentral:rRNA from 1 species
UACGUAGGGGGGCAAGCGUUGUCCGGAAUUAUUGGGCGUAAAGAGCUCGUAGGCGGCCUGUUGCGUCCGCUGUGAAAUCCCAGGGCUCAACCCUGGGCGUGCAGUGGAUACGGGCAGGCUGGAGGCAGGCAGGGGGAGAACGGAAUUCCCGGUGUAGCGGUGAAAUGCGCAGAUAGUCGGGAGGAACGACCGGUGGCGAAGGCGGUUCUCUGGGCCUGUACUGACGCUGAGGAGCGAAAGCGUGGGGAGCGAACAGG